CCCGUGCUGCUCUGCAUGGUAGGAUGUCAUGACCAGGAUGUCCUGUCGAUCUUAACUGACCAGUGUGGCGUGGGGUAGCAUGAUGGUCUGCUGUGCUUGGGGGUGGAACUGGACUGCCUGCCUGCUCAAAAUUGGAAGAGCUGUGCCUGUUACAUGUAUGGAUUAAAGAAAAAAAAUGAAGGAGGGAACAUCAAAAAAAUUACUUUCUUCCUAGUAACCCUCUGCCUCCCAAACUCUGUCCGCUCCACCUCGGGCCAACAGCAAAGCACGGGGGACGGCUGUGUGCUUGGAACCCAGGAAGGCCACCGACCUGCAAAAGGACUUCCAGUCCUGGCGUUUUUCAGUGAUUGUAACUCCAGUUUCUGACAUUCUGGCAUUCCAGAGUUAAGUGCUUUUUAAAAAUGCUGAACUACUAGUAUCUUUGUGAUAUGUUUUCUAAAAAUAUGAAUCAUUUAUGCCUGGGGAUACACUGCAGUAGAAGUUUGGAUCUAUUAAUAGCAAAGGAAACCUUCUUCAGAAAGUGGCUUUCUAUCGCUCCAUCAUCCGUGGGCCUCUGUCAUAACACAAGUCCUCAUUCUGGUUCAGAGACUUUCCAAAGCAGUGGCAUUCAAACACAGCAGCCGGAAAUUGCUCCAGGUGACUCGCUGGGGUCUCUACCUACAAGUAAACACACUGUAGAAGAUGAAGACAAAUUGGAAACUCUUUUUUUGAAAUCUUUGAAAUAAAACUAGAGUUCAUGACCAAUAAAAAAAUGUAGUCCCUGCCAACAACGAAGAAAGGAGUUUAAAAAAACAGAAAAUAUCAUCUAAAGCUGUAGUUCCCAACUCCUGGGCCACGUCCUACAGGUGUGAGGCCUGUUAGGGACCAGGCUGAAGAGCUCCACCACUGUCCCUCCCAGAUCCCUGGCUCCGUGGAAGAAUUGUCUUCCAUGAAACCGGUCCCUGGUGCCAAAAAGGUUGGGGACCAUCGAUCUAAAGUAUGGGAGAAGAAAUGGGAUUAUUUGAAGACGAAAAAACUCAAAGUUUGAAAUUUGGCUGGAAUCUCUCUCCUCACCAUUGCCUCAACCAGCCUAGAGUGAAAAAAGGUACAACAGCCAGAAAAAAUGAGCACAAAACUAUCCUCACA